rnacentral:rRNA from 1 species
UGGGGAAUCUUGGACAAUGGGGGCAACCCUGAUCCAGCGACGCCGCGUGGGUGAAGAAGGCCUUAGGGUUGUAAACCCCUUUCACCGGGGAGGAUGAUGACGUUACCCGGAGAAGAAGCACCGGCUAACUCCGUGCCAGCAGCCGCGGUAAGACGGAGGGUGCUAGCGUUGUUCGGAAUCACUGGGCGUAAAGGGCGCGUAGGCGGCCUAGCCAGUCAGAUGUGAAAGCCCAGGGCUCAACCCUGGAACUGCAUUUGAUACUGCUAAGCUAGAGGACGAGAGAGGGAAGUGGAAUACCCAGUGUAGAGGUGAAAUUCGUAGAUAUUGGGUGGAACACCAGUGGCGAAAGCGGCUUCCUGGCUCGAUUCUGACGCUGAGGCGCGAAAGCGUGGGGAGCAAACAGGAUUAGAUACCCCCGUAGUCC